GAUGAACGCUGGCGGCAUGCCUUACACAUGCAAGUCGAACGGCAGCGGACCUUCGGGUGCCGGCGAGUGGCGAACGGGUGAGUAAUAUAUCGGAACGUACCUUUCAGUGGGGGAUAACGUAGCGAAAGUUACGCUAAUACCGCAUAUUCUGUGAGCAGGAAAGCAGGGGAUCGCAAGACCUUGCGCUGAUUGAGCGGCCGAUAUCAGAUUAGCUAGUUGGUGAGGUAAAGGCUCACCAAGGCGACGAUCUGUAGCGGGUCUGAGAGGAUGAUCCGCCACACUGGAGCUGAGACACGGUCCAGACUCCUACGGGAGGCAGCAGUGGGGAAUUUUGGACAAUGGGCGCAAGCCUGAUCCAGCCAUGCCGCGUGAGUGAAGAAGGCCUCGGUU
rnacentral:rRNA from 1 species